rnacentral:ncRNA from 1 species
ACUGACGCCUCUAAGUCAGAAUCCGGGCCAGAAGCGACGCGUUGUCCGCCGCUCGUUUGCCGACCAGCAGUAGGGGCCCUCCGGCCCCCAAAGGCACGUGUCGUUGGCUAAGCCCUCGCGGCGGACGAGCCGCGCGGGCCGCCUUGAAUUACAAUUUCCACCGGGCGGCGGACUGAAUCCUUUGCAGACGACUUAAAUACGCGACGGGGUAUUGUAAGUGGCAGAGUGGCCUUGCUGCCACGAUCCACUGAGAUUCAGCCCUUCGUCGCUCCGAUUCGU